AAGUGGAGUCCUCCCUCCCGUAGUCCCGUAGAGGCAGAAAGCAGUCGCCGUCCAUCCCGAAUCCCUUCCCCCUUCUCUGCUCUGCUCUGCACAUCCAUCUUCUUCUUUCUUGGCUUUUCUUGGACUUGAACUUGGCCCGUCUUCUUCAGCUUCAACCCUAGCCCCCCAGGUUGUGGUGGUGGUGCUGGUGCUGCUUGAUGCCGCAGUCCAAUGAAGUAAGGUACACCGCACGCUCGAUCACACCCCCAGCAGACAGAGACAGCUCUUCAAAGUCGCCCCCUCCAAAGAGACGUGCCGCCUCAAGGUCACCUCCUCUUCCUCCUCCUCCUCCACUUCCCAAAGGCACGCACAUCAUCGCAAGGUCAUCUCCUUGCAAAAGGCGCAGCGUCUCAAGGUCUCCUCUGCCUAGAAGACGCAGCGUCUCAAGGUCUCCUCCUCCAAAGAGGCGUGGAAGAUCAAGGUCAAGAUCCAGGUCUCGGAAUAGAAGCCGCUCAAGCAGGAGUGCAGAUGAAGUAAGGAAUCCUGGGAACAACCUGUAUGUCACUGGACUGUCCACACGGACAUCCGGUGAUGACUUGGAGAAAUUCUUCAGUAAAGAGGGAAAGGUUAAAGACUGCCAUGUCGUUAUGGAUCCUCGUACAAAAGAAUCCCGUGGCUUUGCAUUUGUGACAAUGGACAAUAUCGAGGAUGCAAGGCGUUGCAUCAAAUACCUGCACCGUACUGUACUUGAAGGCCGCCUCAUCAGUGUGGCAAAGAAACGCUGGUUUAUCUUACAAAGCAAAUUUAUAUAUUGGGGCGGCCAUGGAUUCUGCACGGCCCAUUGCGUUGGUGCACUGGUGUAGCAUACACUAGUAAGGGUUUGUUCGAGUUAUGCUCUUACACAUUUCCAAUCCAGGAAAUGGAUAGUUCAUCUUGUUUAUGUGUUUCUUUGCUUUUCUUCUGCUGAUUUCCCUGACCAUGCAGCUUCCACAUUGUUGGCUGCCUCAACAUUGUUGUCUAUAAAAUUACUGAAUCAAGUACCGGUUGGUUCCUGCAACUUCACCAUCUGUUGCCUCUCCAUCACCAUCGUCCACUGCACUUUCUGCACUGACCUUAGACCUGAAGUCACUGCUAUGGUCUUGGGGUAAAAAAAGUCACAUGUCUCUGGACGUUGCAGGUCUACGUGUCACCACCGUAGACCUUGUUUCAAAUUUUCAAUAUGUGUUGAGCUACUGCGGCAAAAAGAACUCGCAAGAGGACCCCUACUCCUGGAGAAUACUGUGGCCCAAGAGGCGGGCGUUCUCAAGGGCGAGCACGGAGCCCUUCACCUCCCCGUUCUCGCAGACGGUCAAGGGAUCGAUCGAGGUCGCCAGGCGGAAG